AGUCGUUCUGCUGUUAUUCUAGUUAAUCAGUUUCUCAAGUCUCCUUGAAGUCUCUGUCCUCUUCAGAAACACACUUAGGCGCACUUUGACCUGCUGAUCGCACAUGAGCACUCACUGUCGCGUCGCAGAUGAUCGAUAAUCGAUCUAUUAAAGCACUUAUGGAGUAAAUGGAGCGUCAAGUGAAGUAAAGAGAGUUUACCGUUGAAUGUGGAGCAGAUCAGUGUCCUCUCGUGUCUCUCAGGUGUGUGUGUUUGUUCCUG